AGUCAUUCGAAGACAAGAACUCACCCCCACAUAAAGAGGCCUGGGACACUGUCGCACAAAUGCAGCCUGACAGUUCCUCUUCCACCUGCUUUUCACCUCCCGACCCUGGGCCGUGGGGGACUUCCAUGGAACCCGCUUGCCACUGAUACGUGAGGCACCCAGAAGUAUAGAGGGCAACUUGACAAGUGCUAAUGACUUGAUGCCUUCCUUUCCUUCUAUUGGGCUCUGAGAAAGCGUCUCAGAAGUUCCUUCAGGAUCAGGACAGAACUCGGCACACAAGUGCUCAAAAAUACUCACUGGAUGUAAGAAUGAAUGAAUGAACUGAAGUAGACACUCAUCAAAUUGUCAGCAGAUCAUUAAAACCGUUUUGAUAAAAAUGGAAUUAUGCGUAUCACUUGGAAGACAUUCAAAGAAUUAAAUGACGUUCCUGUA